rnacentral:rRNA from 1 species
CCUACGGGAGGCAGCAGUGAGGAAUAUUGGUCAAUGGACGAGAGUCUGAACCAGCCAAGUAGCGUGAAGGAUGACUGCCCUAUGGGUUGUAAACUUCUUUUAUAUGGGAAUAAAACGUUCCACGUGUGGGAUUUUGUAUGUACCAUAUGAAUAAGGAUCGGCUAACUCCGUGCCAGCAGCCGCGGUAAUACGGAGGAUCCGAGCGUUAUCCGGAUUUAUUGGGUUUAACGGGAGCGUAGGUGGAUUGUUAAGUCAGUUGUGAAAGUUUGCGGCUCAACCGUAAAAUUGCAGUUGAAACUGGCAGUCUUGAGUACAGUAGAGGUGGGCGGAAUGCGUGGUGUAGCGGUGAAAUGCUUAGAUAUCACGAAGAACUCCGAUUGCGAAGGCAGUUCACUGGACUGCAACUGACACUGAGGCUCGAAAGUGUGGGUAUCAAACAGGAUUAGAUACCCUAGUAGUC